rnacentral:rRNA from 1 species
GAUGAACGCUGGCGGCGUGCCUAAUACAUGCAAGUCGAGCGAACAGACGAGGAGCUUGCUCCUCUGACGUUAGCGGCUGACGGGUGAGUAACACGUGGAUAACCUACCUAUAAGACUGGGAUAACUUCGGGAAACCGGAGCUAAUACCGGAUAAUAUAUUGAACCGCAUGGUUCAAUAGUGAAAGACGGUUUUGCUGUCACUUAUAGAUGGAUCCGCGCCGCAUUAGCUAGUUGGUAAGGUAACGGCUUACCAAGGCAACGAUGCGUAGCCGACCUGAGAGGGUGAUCGGCCACACUGGAACUGAGACACGGUCCAGACUCCUACGGGAGGCAGCAGUAGGGAAUCUUCCGCAAUGGGCGAAAGCCUGACGGAGCAACGCCGCGUGAGUGAUGAAGGUCUUCGGAUCGUAAAACUCUGUUAUUAGGGAAGAACAAAUGUGUAAGUACCUAUGCACGUCUUGACGGUACCUAAUCAGAAAGCCACGGCUAACUACGUG